rnacentral:rRNA from 1 species
UACGUAGGCAGCAAGCGUUGUUCGGAGUUACUGGGCGUAAAGGGUGUGUAGGCGGUUAUUUAAGUUUGGUGUGAAAUCUCCCGGCUCAACCGGGAGGGUGCGCCGAAUACUGAGUGACUUCGAGUGCGGGAGAGGAUAGUGGAAUUCCUGGUGUAGCGGUGAAAUGCGCAGAUAUCAGGAGGAACACCAAUGGCGAAGGCAGCUCGCUGGGACGGUACUGACGCUGAGACGCGAAAGCGUGGGGAGCAAACAGG